AUAAAUGCCUUGAAGGGGAAGAGUAUAACAUGAAACGUCUUCAGAGAGGAGAAUCAUUAGCUGGGAGAUUCUCUAGAUAGUUAUGUUAGAAGGUAGCCCUGGAGCAUCUUUUCUGAACGGAAUAGUUCUCAUUAGGAAAAGACGGAUUUGUCCGUUAUCAAAUUAAGAGUAUAAGCAAAUUCUGAAUUUGUUUGUAAAUAAAGGUGGUACCGCGAUGUCCCUCGUCCUUUUU
rfam:Bacillus cereus Rock4-18 chromosome, whole genome shotgun sequence.